rnacentral:rRNA from 1 species
AAUUAUACUGCGAAACUGCGAAUGGCUCAUUAUAUAAGUUAUCGUUUAUUUGAUAGCACGUUCUUACUUGGAUAACCGUGGUAAUUCUAGAGCUAAUACAUGCUGAAAAUCCCGACUUCGGAAGGGAUGUAUUUAUUAGAUUAAAAACCAAUGCCCUCUGGGCUUGCUGGUGAUUCAUGAUAACUGCGCGAAUCGCACGGCCUUGCGCCGGCGAUGGUUCAUUCAAAUCUCUUCCCUAUCAACUUUCGAUGCGAUGAUCUGGUCAUCGCAUGGUUACAACGGGUAACGGAGGGUUAGGGCUUGACCCCGGAGANGGAGCCUGAGAGACGGCUACUACAUCCAAGGAAGGCAGCAGGCGCGCAAAUUACCCAAUCCCGACACGGGGAGGUAGUGACAAUAAAUACUGAUACAGGGCUCUUUUGGGUCUUGUAAUUGGAAUGAGUACAAUUUAAAUCCCUUAACGAGGAACAAUUGGAGGGCAAGUCUGGUGCCAGCGACCGCGGUAAUUCCAGCUCCAAUAGCGUAUAUUAAAGUUGUUGUGGUUAAAAAGCUCGUAGUUGGAACCUUGGCCUGGCUGGCCGGUCCCCCUCACCGGGUGCACUGAUCCGGCCGGGCCUUUCCCUCUACGGAACCCCAUGGCCUUCACUGGCCGUGGCGGGGAAGUAGGACUUUUACUUUGAAAAAAUUAGAGUGCUCCAGGCAGGCCUAUGCUCGAAUACAUUAGCAUGGAAUAAUAGAAUAGGACGCGUGGUUCUAUUUUGUUGGUUUCUAGGACCGCCGUAAUGCUUAAUAGGGACAGUCGGGGGCAUCAGUAUUCAAUUGUCAGAGGUGAAAUUCUUGGAUCUAUUGAAGACUAACUACUGCGAAAGCAUUUGCCAAGGAUGUUUUCAUUGAUCAGGAACGAAAGUUAGGGGAUCGAAAACGAUCAGAUGCCGUUGUAGCUUUAACUAUAAACUAUGCCGACUAGGGAUCGGACGAUGUUAUUACUUGACUCGUUCGGCACCUUUCGAGAAAUCAAAGUGCUUGGGCUC